rnacentral:rRNA from 1 species
GACGAACGCUGGCGGCGUGCUUAACACAUGCAAGUCGAACGAAAAUACCAAGCUUGCUUGGUUGAUUAGUGGCGAACGGGUGAGUAACACGUGAGUAACCUGCCCCUUACUUUCUGGAUAACUGCUCGAAAGGGUAGCUAAUACGGGAUAUUCUGACCAUCCUGCAUGGGUUGGUUUGGAAAGGUUUUUUCUGGUGAGGGAUGGGCUCGCGGCCUAUCAGCUUGUUGGUGGGGUGAUGGCCUACCAAGGCUUUGACGGGUAGCCGGCCUGAGAGGGUGGACGGUCACACUGGGACUGAGAUACGGCCCAGACUCCUACGGGAGGCAGCAGUGGGGAAUAUUGCACAAUGGGCGCAAGCCUGAUGCAGCGACGCCGCGUGAGGGAUGAAGGCCUUCGGGUUGUAAACCUCUUUCGUCAGGGAACAAGGCACUACGUUUUGGUGGUGUUGAGGGUACCUGGAUAAGAAGCGCCGGCUAACUACGUGCCAGCAGCCGCGGUAAUACGUAGGGCGCAAGCGUUGUCCGGAAUUAUUGGGCGUAAAGAGCUCGUAGGCGGCUGGUCGCGUCUGUCGUGAAAACUUCCGGCUCAACCGGGGGCUUGCGGUGGGUACGGGCCGGCUAGAGUGCGGUAGGGGUAACUGGAACUCCUGGUGUAGCGGUGGAAUGCGCAGAUAUCAGGAAGAACACCGAUGGCGAAGGCAGGUUACUGGGCCGUUACUGACGCUGAGGAGCGAAAGCGUGGGGAGCGAACAGG